rnacentral:rRNA from 1 species
CCUACGGGAGGCAGCAGUGAGGAAUAUUGGUCAAUGGACGAGAGUCUGAACCAGCCAAGUAGCGUGAAGGAUGACUGCCCUAUGGGUUGUAAACUUCUUUUAUAUGGGAGUAAAACAGGGUAUUCAUCCCCUCUUGUAUGUCCCAUAUGAAUAAGGAUCGGCGAACUCCGUGCCCGCAGCCGCGGUAAUACGGAGGUUCCGAGCGUUUUCCGUGUUUAUUGGGGUGAAAGGGCGCGUAGGUGGAUUUGUAAGUCAGUUGUGAAAGUUUGAGGAUCAACCGUAAAAUUGCAGUUGAAACUGGCAGUCUUGAGUACAGUAGAGGUGGGCGGAAUUCGUGGUGUAGCGGUGAAAUGCUUAGAUAUCACGAAGAACUCCGAUUGCGAAGGCAGCUCACUGGACUGCAACUGACACUGAUGCUCGAAAGUGUGGGUAUCAAACAGGAUUAGAUACCCCGGUAGUC